rnacentral:rRNA from 1 species
UUUAACGGCCGCGGUAUUUUGACCGUGCAAAGGUAGCGCAAUCAAUUGUCUUUUAAAUGAAGACCCGUAUGAACGGCAUAACGAGGGCUUAACUGUCUCCCCUUUCAGGUCAAUGAAAUUGAUCUCCCCGUGCAGAAGCGGGAAUGACAACAUAAGACGAGAAGACCCUAUGGAGCUUAAAACACAAGAAUAGAUCAAACAAUUAUUCUACUUUAAUAAAAAUAUAAACACUGUCCCCUAUUCUAAUGUUUUUGGUUGGGGCGACCGCGGAGUAAAACAAACCCCCCGUGCAGAAUGAAAAUACAAUCUUCUUAUUCAAGGACGACAGUCCUAGAAACCAGAACUUCUGACUAACAGAUCCGGAUUACCGAUUAACGAACCAAGUUACCCUAGGGAUAACAGCGCAAUCCUCUUUUAGAGCCCAUAUCGACAAGAGGGUUUACGACCUCGAUGUUGGACCAGGACAUCCUAAU